rnacentral:sRNA from 1 species
UCUUCCCAGCUGGGAUGGUUUCACAUUGUGAUCGUCGUCCCCCCGGGAGGUUAGAGCAUCAGGGGCCUGGACUCACUGGACUCUCCUCUCUCAGAGGUGCGGAACUACAUCUGUGACGAGUGUGGACAAACCUUCAAGCAGCGGAAGCACCUUCUCGUCCACCAAAUGCGACAUUCGGGAGCCAAGCCUUUGCAGUAAGUGUGAGUCAGGCCCCCCGCCAGGGCUGUGGCCCACGCACCUUCUUACCUGCCUCUGUCCCCCAGGUGUGAGGUCUGUGGGUUCCAGUGCAGGCAGCGGGCAUCCCUCAAGUACCACAUGACCAAACACAAGGCUGAGACGGAGCUGGACUUUGCCUGUGACCAGUGUGGCCGGCGGUUUGAGAAGGCCCACAACCUCAACGUACACAUGUCCAUGGUGCACCCGCUGACACAGACCCAGGACAAGGCCCUGCCCCUGGAGGCGGAACCACCACCUGGGCCACCGAGCCCCUCUGUGACCACAGAGGGCCAGGCGGUGAAGCCCGAACCCACCUGAGGACGGCAGUGAGGAUGAGCACCUCUAGCAGCCCGGACUCCGCAGAGGCUGUCAGCCUCACCCUUCGUGUGCACCCGCAUG